rnacentral:rRNA from 1 species
CCUGGCUCAGAACGAACGCUGGCGGCAGGCCUAACACAUGCAAGUCGAACGCCGUAGCAAUACGGAGUGGCAGACGGGUGAGUAACACGUGGGAACGUACCUUUCGGUUCGGAAUAACUCAGGGAAACUUGAGCUAAUACCGGAUACGUGCGAGAGCAGAAAGAUUUAUCGCCGAAAAGAUCGGCCCGCGUCCGAUUAGCUUGUUGGUGAGGUAACGGCUCACCAAGGCGACGAUCGGUAGCUGGUCUGAGAGGAUGAUCAGCCACACUGGGACUGAGACACGGCCCAGACUCCUACGGGAGGCAGCAGUGGGGAAUAUUGGACAAUGGGCGCAAGCCUGAUCCAGCCAUGCCGCGUGAGUGAUGACGGCCUUAGGGUUGUAAAGCUCUUUCGCCAGGACGAUAAUGACGGUACCUGGAUAAGAAGCCCGGCUAACUUCGUGCCAGCAGCCGCGGUAAUACGAAGGGGGCUA